CUUUUUACAUAUAUUUUCCUUACUGCCUUACUCAGUGGGUAAAUUAGAGGGUUGAAGGAGAGUUGAAUAGUCCACGAGACUGCCCCCUUUGAGGUUUCACAAAUACCAAACAGUACCCAGUGAGAACAGCACAUCCACUGGGACUAGGCUUGAGGCCUAAAGGCAAGUAUGAAAUGCAAAUGCUGUUUCACUCCCUCUCCCAACCCUCAACAAUAAGGAAAAGGAGGAGCCUAGUGAAGGCCAAUGCUAGGUUUACAAACUUACCCAGAAGCCUCUGCAAAGCUUCACAGGCUCCUCAGGUGAAAAUACCAGGAAUCAAUGGUGACUACGGCCAAACACUGAUUUGCCAUUCUGUUCCCUUUAAGAAGUAACAGUGCUGCAAGGAAGUCCAAGUCAGAAAGCCAACAGAAGGUGAUUUCCACAACUUUGAACUGGUUGUUAUAAGUAUCAGCAAGAUCGUGUCCUUUUCAGAAAUAACAGUCCAAUCAACAGAAGGUUAAUAAAGGCUUUCAUUCCACACGUACAC